UGGCGGACGGGUGAGUAACGCGUGGGUAACCUGCCUCAUACAGGGGGAUAACGGUUAGAAAUGACUGCUAAUACCGCAUAAGCGCACAGUACCGCAUGGUACGUUGUGAAAAACUCCGGUGGUAUGAGAUGGACCCGCGUCUGAUUAGCUAGUUGGUGGGGUAACGGCCCACCAAGGCGACGAUCAGUAGCCGACCUGAGAGGGUGACCGGCCACAUUGGGACUGAGACACGGCCCAG
rnacentral:rRNA from 1 species